rnacentral:rRNA from 1 species
AUACGGAGGGUGCAAGCGUUAUUCGGAUUCAUUGGGUUUAAAGGGUGCGCAGGCGGAUAUUUAAGUCAGUGGUGAAAUCCCGGGGCUCAACCUCGGAACUGCCAUUGAUACUGAAUAUCUGGAAUACGGUUGAAGUGGGCGGAAUGUAGCAUGUAGCGGUGAAAUGCAUAGAGAUGCUACAGAACACCGAUCGCGAAGGCAGCUCACUAAGCCGAUAUUGACGCUCAGGCACGAAAGCGUGGGGAGCGAACAGGAUUAGAUACCCCUGUAGUCC